CCUUACACAUGCAAGUUCGGAACGGCAGCACGGGGAGCAAUCCUGGUGGCGAGUGGCGAACGGGUGAGUAAUAUAUCGGAACGUCGCCCAGUCGGUGGGGGAAUAACGCAGCGAAAGCUGUGCUAAUACCGCAUACGAUCUAUGGAUGAAAGCGGGGGAUCGCAAGACCUCGCGCGAUUUGGAGCGGCCGAUAUCAGAUUAGCUAGUUGGUGGGGUAAAAGCCCACCAAGGCGACGAUCUGUAGCUGGUCUGAGAGGACGACCAGCCACACUGGAACUGAGACACGGUCCAGACUCCUACGGGAGGCAGCAGUGGGGAAUAUUGCACAAUGGGGGAAACCCUGAUGCAGCCAUGCCGCGUGUGUGAAGAAGGCCUUCGGGUUGUAAAGCACUUUCAGCGAGGAGGAAAGGUCAGUAGCUAAUAUCUGCUGGCUGUGACGUUACUCGCAGAAGAAGCACCGGCUAACUCCGUG
rnacentral:rRNA from 1 species